rnacentral:lncRNA from 1 species
AGCCUGCACAAUAAUAAUUUCCCUAGAAUUUAAGGGCUUAUUCUCCAGUUGUUCUAACUCAGCUCUAUUAAUAUCACUGGAGUUACAUUAGUUUGCCCUGACUAAUAUCCUUUAGUUAUGCAGACAAGCAAAUAAAAUUACUUUAGCUGUUCUUUUAAAGUCAUUCCCAAACACCAUCUGAGAGGCUCCCUCGGUACAAAAAACAAACCCCAAGCACAGGACCCCGACACAGCCCUGGACUGGCUGCACAUUCCAUAUUGAGGGUCAACAGGAGUUCCACAAGGAUACCCUCGGUCACUGCUUCCUCACAGCCACUUCAGAGGGAGGGGAAGAAAGGGUUUGAAAAACAUUCCAGAUUUCAGCCGAGUUUCUGUAGCUGUGCAGACACAGGAGUCGCUGAAAUGUCCGGAGGGACAGCCCCAGCAAGCCUGUGACCUUCUAUGACAAACCGGACUAUGGCAUUUCAGAAGGGAUUUAGCUGGGAUUGUUAAACAUGUGCCAAAGAGAGAACUGCUUCUUGGAUUUUUUCAAUCAAGGAGCACUAUAUUUGGACUGGAAACAGCCUGUGGAUGAGCAGGAAUAACCAUUAGAAGGCAAGUGAAAAGUUUCAAGCAGAUACUACGGUCAAGGAAGAAACAACGCGAAGGUAUCUGGGCAAGUUUCCAUACUGACUGAAGCAACACUUUUCCCAUGACAUCAGACUCAAAACAACCAAUAUAUUAUAGUCCAUAUGUUGAUUAAGGAAAGCCCAAGCCGUGCAGAGCCAUGCACCAGCCUUCAGAACAGCGGCUGAAGAAAAGCUGGAUCGCUUGCAAGCCAUGGGAGUUAAUCAAACAAAUAAAAAGCCUCAGGUUUUCAGGAUAAGGCACCUGGGUCAGACUUCUCAGCACGAUGAGGUUGUGAAUCCUGAGUGUGAAGAAAGAAGAAGGGAACCCAGCCAGACCCAAGUGGGAAGAAACAUUCUGAACCUGGUGACAGGGACUUGUGUGCUAGACUGACAGGUCAGUCAUGUUCUCAACAGUGCUACAGUUCUGGGCUUUGGUGCUUAAUUCCUGGUGUACGCAUAAGGGAUGCAAAGGUAGAAACAGACAUGGUGCAGUUUAACUUGCAUUUACUGCACUGCAGUGAGAACCCAUUCCACAGGAAAAAUCUACCUUUCUAGUCUAUUGUAUGAUUACAUUAUUUGGAUCUUGAUUAGGGUCUGUAUAAAGCGCUGAUCACUAUUACAAACACUUUGAACAAGCCUUCUCUAUGUUCUUAUUUCAAACUCAGGCAAGUAACCUCUGCUCAUUCAACAGUAAAUUGUUUCAACCGCAGCAAGAACCUUUUCCCAUAUUAAUCAGCACAGAUUACCUCAGUAUUUGUUUCACUGGAUGCAUGUAAAAUAUCUCUGUGACUUUGUUUUGCUUGCAGUAGUUACCCCACCAGCAAUUAAAAACUUUCGGCUCCACAGAUCACAGUUUCCAUAAUCUACCUAGAGAUUCUGUGAAACUUACUUCAGUGCAAAUGCCAGUAUGAUUUAAUAGAAAAACCAGAGAUUUUCACAUUUCAUCUCCUUGUGUAUUUUAUGCACGACCACUUUUCAGAUAGUAUUUAUUUUAGCGUAGGAAAAGCAAUUGAGUGGCAGUAAAAUGUCAGGAAGCACUGGGCAAAGAAAUGUUCUGCUGGGCUGAAGCAGCUGUCAAACGUCUUCUCAAAAAUCCUGAAAACCAUGUUAGCUGCUACAUCUCAGUUUUUGUGCACCUCAGCAGUUCUUCAUUCUGGCUGGAAGCAUAAGCUGCUCACGGCAUUCCGAGUUUGGCCGUAUCCAGGCGUGCUGGAAUUGUAACACUGUAUUCUUUGGGGUCUAUUCAAUGCUAAACUAAGUUUCCAAAUGUUUCUUGGCUCGGCAGCCAUUAUCUGG